GGGAUGGAGGGAGCUGGCAGACCCUGAUCGGGUGUGGAAGCUGGGGCAGGGUAGGCGGUACCGUGGCUCCCACCCUUAUCUGUCUCAAGACUUAGCCCAGGACCUCCCACAUAGUAGGUGCUCAGCAAAUACGCCGUGAGGGACCCUGUGAGUGGAUGGAUGAAUCGCUGCGAGCCUCCUCACUCAUAAUCCGCAGGGGUUUCUCAUGCCCCCCUGGAGGGGGGCAAUUAGAAAAGGGUCAGGGGGCGUUGUAGAGGGUUGGCCAGCCCCCCAGGGCUCCACAGGCGCAGGGGAACUGGCUUCUUGCCAUCCCUCGGGGGCUUGGCAGACUGCCAGGUUCACAAGAUGGGCAGGUCCCACAGCAGACUGGGAAAGUGGUAAGGGCAGGGCCUGGCCUGAAGGACAAUUUCUUUGACACCCCCAUUAGCCCUGUCUAGGGCUGAGAGGGCCGGACGAAGCAGCUUCGCUCCUGGCAGGGGAAAGGGGGAACCAAGGACCCUGUUUCUCCUUUGGUUGCUCACACGGACCUGCCAGGAGCCAUUCCGGAUUGGCUGCAGGAAACGUUCUAUAUACAUAUGGGAGACUCCGUGUCUCUUCCUCCCAGGACGGGCGAGGGCGGCAGAUGUUUCUCUAGAGAGAAAGCAGUUCCCCUCGCCCCCAUCCUGCAGUCAGAAUAGCAAUGCAAGGGGACUAACGUUUGCGGGGUUCCUUCUACGCACCACGUUCCACUACAGCGUCAGCUUUCCGCGUUAGGAUGUCAUUGUCAUGGUAACAAUGCAGGACGGGUGUUUUUCGCAGAGGAAGCCUCUGAGGUUUGGAGAGCUGAGCUCCGUAGCUACGGCCAUGCAACCAAUACGUAUCAGAACUGGAAUUUGAACCUGGCUCUCCAACAUUCUACAACUCGUGUUCUCUCGAAUACAGCCUUUGGCUCUGUUCAAAAUAGUCCUCUGGGCUCUGUGCCUAAAGCAAUAGAAGAUGUAGACCAAGGACAUCAGACUGGGGACAGAAAUAUUCCGGGACAUUUUUGUGGCUGAAUGCUCUGGACCUAGGGGGAGAAAGCCUUCAGACAAAUCUGGUAAGACAAGGGCCUGGGCAGACAUCUCCUCUGUUCGUCCCACCCAGCGGGAAGGGUGCUCCAGGCAGAAGGCAGAGCAUGUGCCCAGGCCUGGAGAGGCGAGAGCGGAAGUGCGUUCGCUGCUGUUAGAGCAGAACAAGCAAAUGAGGCAUCGGGAGGAGGUGUGGCCAGGGGGCUGGGCUGGAUUCCUGGACCCUUACCGUCAAACUCUUUCUGGAGUAGACUUCUGCCCUGAAUCAGGCCAUUCUCCUGGGUGCCCUGGAAAACGAUCCGGUGACCGCGCUGUCCAGAGCGCCUCUGACGGUAAUGAGGCUCAGCCCGGAGACCAUCCGAGUGGGUGACAGACUCCCAAAUAUCAGAGGCUGGCAUACUUCCUCUACAAGCCAGUGGGUACACGGUAUCGAAGAGAAGGGAAAAAAAUAAUCGUAGCAGUGUCUGAAGAACUUAGACACGGCGUCUUGCUCUCUCGUAAUGUAUGUUUCAAGCAGCCGAAGGAGUAAAAAAGUCAGAUUCACACGUCUCCUGCUGCUCGUGCAAAGAAAAGGAGUGGAAGUUCCAAGGCAGCCAUUUCACCCGUAAGAUGUGUGGUGUUGGGAGUCGUAAUAAAAAAUAAAUAUUUGGUCUCCGGGCCCUCUUCUGGCACCGGGCUCCUAAAACCUUAGGAAUUUCCGGGGAGGAAGGUGAUAGAGGUGUCAUUUGUUACGUUAACGAGGUGACCUUUGGAACCACCUAAGGACGGGGCUGGUUGCCAGGAGAACUAACCACGCGAUGGGAAGGUCAAGGUCGGAGUUUUCAGUCCCUCCCUCAACUGCCUGUGAGAGGAGGAGGCUGGAGGUCGAAUCAAUGGCCAAUGGCCAAUGCUUUAAUCCAUUGUGACCAUAGUGAAGCCUCGGUGAAAAUCCCAAAGGACCAGGUGUGGAGUGCUUCCUGAUUGGUGGACAGCUUUCAGAGAGCUUCCUGAUUGGUGGAGACAAUAUUCACAGUGCUUCCCGAUUGGUAGACAGGGUUCGAGCGCUUCCUGAUUGGCUGACAGGCGGAGAUUCGGGAAGAGUGGGCUCUCAGAGACCGUGGAAGCUCCACCCCAUGUCCCCACACCCGGCCCUAUGCAUCUCUUCCACUGGCUGUUCCUGAAUUAUAUCCUUUUAUAACAAACUUGCAAUCUGCGUGGCCAAAUGUCAGUGCCAAGUCAUUCAACGCGCAUUACCAACUUCUUCCUGUGUGCCAGGAACUGGCCCUGCCCCGGAGGACAAGCAAUGAACCCUGUAGACACAGCCUGUCACUGAGCUUGAUACAGAGACUGCUUUCUUUUAUUUUAUUUUGUUUUCUCUCUUCCUCCUGCCACUAUGGGUCAAAGUGUCUAUGCUACUUUCUGAACUACAGGUUUUUCAACAUGUUCUCUCAGGGAUAUACGGGAGGGAGGGAGGGUGUCUCUUCAGCUCUAAGAUUCCAUGAUGAGGAGCCUGGAGAUUCUUGGGGGUUGGCUGCUUGUCCGAUGCUACUCUCGCGACUGUCUUCUCUCCGGCAACUCACACUUCGCAAGAGCCCCGCUCCUAGGCUACACAGCAGGUUUCAAGGUAUUUCGUGUUGGUUUCCGACCACCGUUUCUAGGUGGUCCCAGGCCUCUUAAUUCCUCUGGUCUCCUGAAAGGCUGGUUCUGGCACCUGGAUGUUUGUUUCCUCCUGGAGGGCCCCAGGCCCACCAGCAGGCACACCAGACACGUGCUUCACGUCUGUGGAUGGACGAGAUCGGGGGGAAACACAUCUGGUCUGUGUCGUGACAGACAGAUGGCGAGAGGCUCGGGAGCGGACGCGGGAUGGAGAGGUGGGGAGACGGGGCUGGGAGGUGAGAACGUUUGAAGUCAUUCCCCAUCAGCAGGACUCUGAACGGAAAACCCUUUGUAGAGGAAGAGAUCUCAGCAAGCCUGUAAUCCCUCAGGCCCAUUUGACAGAAAGGAAGGGGAAGCUUGAGACGCGAGACUACAGUGUCAUAAAUGCCAGAGCUGGGACUUGAACCGAGGUCUUCUGCCUCCCAGUCCAAAGAGAGAAGAGACCAGAGGAAACCCCCAGGGGAUGGGGCCAGUGGUAAGGGAACAAGAAGAGCUGCUGGCCCUUGAAAAUCACCAUUGCCUGGGCCACUCAGCCUUUUCAGCUGCAUCCAUUUUACGGGUGAGGUUAAAUAACUUGCUCGAAGCUUCCCACUGAGAACGCGGCAGAGCCGUGAUUGGAACCCCAAAGCCAUGGGGCGCCCGAUGGCAAAUGUUGCCCCCAGGGGAUCAGACAACAUGAGCGUUGUUUUGCUCUUAAGACACAGUCAUCCUCUCAGAGGAAACCAAACCUUCCUCCAAGAAGACUUCCCUGAACGCGCCAAGCCACAAAAGCAUCUUCCUGAUGCAGAUGUCUGAACUCCUAGGCAAUGUGCUUUCUCCCACCUUGUUUCCCACGGAUCUGAACGUCCACAUCUUAAAGUUGACCACUGCCUGCUUCAGACUUCCUGGUCCCGGUUCCCCGCACCCCGCACUUCCCACAUUUUAAUUCAGUACCAAACUCUUAGGAGAUGCUCAAAGAAGAUGUGCUGAGUCACGGGGGAAACUCAGAGGAAGAGAAACCAUGGGAAUAAGGACUUGCCUGUUACUGAUCCUUGACCUUCCAUUGAGAAGCUCUCAGAAAAAAAAAUACCAGCCGAUUUUAAAAUCAAGAUGACUUUUGUCAUCUGCCAUUGGGGAGAAUACAAGUCAAAGCCCGUAGGCCCACGUGGAUAUCCCAGAAAUGGACUGUUACCUCCAUUGGUUGAUUAAAUUAGGAUGUGUUCCCUCUGCGUCACCUAAACUCGUUACGUGUAAGAUAGUGGGCAAAAUGUCAUGGUAUAAAGAUAGUCAUUUAAUCCUGACUGUAAGCCUCAGGCACGUGUCCCCUGGCCUUUCUCAGUCCUAAGUCCCUUAAUGUUUUCACCUGGUGCUCACUUGCCAACACUGGGUCACGGCAAUGACUGACACCUGCCCCCCCCCCCCCCCAAUCACCUCUCUCUUUCCUUGGGGGCUCUAAACUUGACCUGUCAGCCCUUUGACUCUGAGGGAGAAGUGAGCUGGAUACAGAGACUACAGCGUGGGGUGGCUUAAAAAUUCAGGAUUCAAGGGGCGCCUGGGUGGCGCAGUCGGUUAAGCGUCCGACUUCAGCUCAGGUCACGAUCUCGCGAUCUCGCGGUCUGUGAGUUCGAGCCCCGCGUGGGGGCUCUGGGCUGAUGGCUCAGAGCCUGGAGCCUGCUUCCGAUUCUGUGUCUCCCUCUCUCUCUGCUCCUCCCCCGUUCAUGCUCUGUCUCUCUCUCUGUCUCAAAAAUAAAUAAACAUUAAAAAAAAUUUAAAAAAAGAAAUUCGGGAUUCAAGAUGAGCACGGCUGGUCUAACUGAAAAUAACCUGGAGAAACGAUCAGCCCAAACUCUCAGCUGAAAGAAACCCAGCUACAGAAGCGCCAUCACAGCAGGGAGCCCCCACGUCACCCUCAAACCAGGAUGGAAGGCCGGGAGAACUAAGUCCCCAGUACCCUGCCGGUCACAGAACAAACUCACUCACAAGCUGGAUGGCCCCAUUCCUCUGCAUCGGGGCUCUUCCUCUGUCACUUCCUAGCAGCAUAACCAUGGACACGUCACUUCCCCCUCUCGAGCCUCCAUUUCUCUCCCUGAGAAAUGGGCAUACUGCUCAGGACCUCUUUAGAGGGUAGCGGUUGAGACAAAAACCCUGCGAUGGGGCCUGUUCCAGGCAGGCGUUUGAUUUUAGCUAGUUUCCAUUCUUUCAGCCUUCGUUUGCCCAAGGGCCUGGGGAGAGCCACUUUAAUUUCUUUGUACCCCAGGCUCUGUCCCCGGUGUAGGGCUUGUGGAGGUUUGCUGAUCACCCCAAGGUGUCUUGUGGGAACUGAAAACAGAGCCCGACUCACGGAACGGAAAAUGGGUCAGGCCCAGGGCCUGUUUAGCCAAAGAGUGGCUGCUAACCGCACCUUACGCUUCUGCCUUAGGAUCCGGAGGGAGUCUACCCUCCCCCUCUCGCCAGCUGCCCCCAGGGCUGAGCCUCCAGUGUCCAGGUUUGAAGCAGCCUGAGGUUCUGAGGUUCCUGGUGCAGAAAUAAGGUCACGGUGAAGAUAUGGCCGUUUUGAAACCCUGGUGAACUUCAAGGACCAGCGCAGAGUGAGUCUCGAAACUGCCUCUUCCUGACGAGUGGGGCUGCGAGAGUGAGGGCCUAACUGAGCUAACAGGCACAGAGACCGGCGAUCAUGGAGCCUUUGGGAGAGGGGGCUCGAGGGAGCCCUCCCAAAACAGGUCCCCUUCCCCGCCAGCCCCCACCGAGGACAUCGCAGCAAGAAUCAUCCCGACGGAGGAGUUUGCGUGCUGACCCAAAGGGUGCAGGGGCUUUUCCCUUUGCUGGCUUCAGUUUAGUGGGACACAUUUCUCGAGAGCCCAAGGCACCACGGUUGCCCUUGUAGGAAGGAGAAGUGGACAAGGUCACAGAGGAGAGCAGGCCAAGAGCCGGCAGUCCUGCCUCUGUGCUGGGUCUGUGAGACCUUGAGGCCUUCAACCUCUGGGCUUGGGGCCUCAGUUUCCCCAUCUGCAAGCAAGGGUGCUGGACUACAGCAACUCUCCAGUCCUCUAUCUCAUCGGCACGCCAGUAAGGAGAGAUCUGGUCCUGGCCCCAUCCUUGCCUUAGGCAGGACUGACUUGUUCCCAAUAAAAAAAAUCUCAAAUCCAGAUUCAGUGGCUUUGUGGCUCAACCAUUUCUCAAGAAAUAAACGCGCUGGUGACUACGGGGAGGAGAACGUCCAAACUGGCCCUGAUUUGUGUGGACUGAUGCACGGGCCCCUUUCCUGCCGAGCUUUCCAACUGGCUGAGCGACUCCCGUGUGGCUGGGGAGGCCUCUGCCCACUGGGAUUUGGAAGUUCAUGGUGAAGUCUUGUGAGUACGACUCACCGCAGGGUCCCUGCCACUCCAUUUACAAAAGGGACACAGGGGCCUCAAAAAGCCCACAACCUCCACAGGUUUCUGUGAAAAUUUCCAACCCUCCUAAUGUAUGCGAAUACCUUAAAAAUAUUUUUUUUUAACAUUUAUUCAUU